UACGUAGGGUGCGAGCGUUGUCCGGAUUUAUUGGGCGUAAAGAGCUCGUAGGCGGUCUGUCGCGUCGGCUGUGAAAACUCGGGGCUCAACCCCGAGCCUGCAGUUGAUACGGGCAGGCUAGAGUUCGGUAGGGGAGACUGGAAUUCCUGGUGUAGCGGUGAAAUGCGUAGAUAUUGGGAAGAACACCGGUGGCGAAGGCGGCGAGCUGGUCCAUUACUGACGCUGAGGCGCGACAGCGUGGGGAGCAAACAGG
rnacentral:rRNA from 1 species